rnacentral:tRNA from 1 species
GUUAUAGCUCAGUUGGUAGAGUGCUUGUCUUGCAAGCACAAGGCCCUGGGUUCAAUCCCCAGCACA